rnacentral:rRNA from 1 species
UAGGGUUGCCAAACCUCCCCUUAAACCAUUGUGACGUUACCCUUAACCGUUGCUUCGGCGGGCGGCGCCAUGCCGUUCCCUCGGCCCUUCCCGGGCGCCCGCCGGAGGAUACCCAACUCUUGAUAUUUUAUGGCCACUCUGAGUCUUCUGUACUGAAUAAGUCAAAACUUUCAACAACGGAUCUCUUGGUUCUGGCAUCGAUGAAGAACGCAGCGAAAUGCGAUAAGUAAUGUGAAUUGCAGAAUUCAGUGAAUCAUCGAAUCUUUGAACGCACAUUGCGCCCGCCAGUAUUCUGGCGGGCAUGCCUGUUCGAGCGUCAUUUCAACCAUCAAGCCCCCGGCUUGUGUUGGGGACCUGCGGCUGCCCGCAGGCCCUGAAAAACAGUGGCGGGCUCGCUGUCACACCGAGCGUAGUAGCAUCAUUCUCGCUCAGGGCGUGCUGCGGGUUCCGGCCGUUAAACGACCUUCAUAACCCAAGGUUGACCUCGGAUCAGGUAGGAAGACCCGCUGAACUUAAGCAUAUCAAUAAGCGGAGGACAGAGUUGCAAAACUCCUAACAUUGUGAAGUUUACCUUAAGCUUGCUCCGGGGGGGGCCAGCCCCUCGCCUUCCGGGGGCCGCCGGAGGAUCCACUCUUGAUAUUUUAGGGGCCUCUUAAUUCUUCUUAGGAAAUAAUGCAAAUUUUAAAA